GAAUGUUGGUUUAACUAUUCUGUCUCCUUGUAUUUGAAAAUGUUUAAAGGUGAAAAAGCUUUUUUUUCUGUACAACAGGGAAUUAUGUAGUUAACUGUUACUGACAUAAUUUUGGAUAUUAUGCUAUUACAUAAUAUUCUGACCAAAACAACCAAAUGAUUCACAUUUUGAAAAGUCACUGUUUAUUUGCUGUGUGUUGACAAGUAGAAUAGAAAAGAAAGAAUGAACGAUAUCAUCUUCAAAGGGGAUGAGGGUGACUACAUUGAGCUUUCCUCGACAAACUGCAGAACUGAAACAUGCUCAUUUGCCAUCCUUGGUGACGUUUGGAAGAGGGUGUUAGGAAGAAAAUGAAAUGGUUUGGAGAAGUUGAUUCACUAAGAUGUAGGAUGUCACAUUAUUUUCAAAGAGAAGUGCCAGUGUAAACAAAUAUUCUAUGUGAAAUACAGAAUUUAUUGAGAAUAUUACAAGAAAAUUGUUUAAAAAAUAAAGAUCAGUUCACUCAGGAGUUUUAAAGAAGU
rnacentral:lncRNA from 13 species